GUAGGUGGCAAGCGUUAUCCGGAAUUAUUGGGCGUAAAGCGCGCGCAGGUGGUUUCUUAAGUCUGAUGUGAAAGCCCACGGCUCAACCGUGGAGGGUCAUUGGAAACUGGGAGACUUGAGUGCAGAAGAGGAAAGUGGAAUUCCAUGUGUAGCGGUGAAAUGCGUAGAGAUAUGGAGGAACACCAGUGGCGAAGGCGACUUUCUGGUCUGUAACUGACACUGAGGCGCGAAAGCGUGGGGAGCAAACAGGAUUAGAUACCCUGGUAGUCCACGCCGUAAACGAUGAGUGCUAAGUGUUAGAGGGUUUCCGCCCUUUAGUGCUGAAGUUAACGCAUUAAGCACUCCGCCUGGGGAGUACGGCCGCAA
rnacentral:rRNA from 1 species